GCUAGCAUCGUCAGAAGAAUGAUGAUGAAACAUCCUCACUAUUGUCCUACCCUGGAAGAAGCCCUGCUGUUCGGAUGCAGGUCCCUCCUAGGCUGGCGGGUCUCGGGUCUCCGCUUCCGGUGUUGUUGGGGCCCCGCGUCUCCCAGAGCCUUCGCGGUACACGCUCUCCGCCGGGGCUGCUGGGAAGUUGCCCGCGGGGCCCCGCUACGCACGUACGCUCGGCGGCGGGUCCUAUAGCUCUGCUGCGUUGGGUGGAUGGCCGGUGUCCGUCUGCGUAACGCGGCUGUGAGGACUCUGUAGGGGGUGCCUCCCUACCUUGGGGUGGGAAAGGCGGGCCUCCCGCAGGAAAAGCGGGGCCUGGCUCCGGCUGCGUGGGAGGGUUGCAGCACUGGGCCGGUACGCCCGGCCUAUCAUGGCGGCUCUGGUUCGCUCCCAGCAGCGCCCCCUGGAUGAGGCCCGGCUGUUCAGCUCGCUUCUCUGCGCUGAGAACCAAGGCAUGUUUGAGCCCAGUAGUGCGUGGUGGUUAAUGAUAAAGCCGUGGCAUUUCGUUGAAUUUUCACAACCAUUUGUUGUAGCAGAUAAGAACUAGUUUUGGAGAGAUGAUAAUUCACCCGAGUUCACAUAGCCCACAGAUGAGGGGGUUGGGUUAAAGGCCAGAUGUGUUUUCCAAAUCUCUUGUUGAUGCUAAAAGGCCACUCUACCUGGAAAGUACCUUGGGUUCCUUCACAACCACCAAGUGGCAAGAUGCCUUCCUGGCUCUCAGGAGCCCUGGGGUCAGAGUCCAUAAUCGAGACUGUGGGCCCCUCCGAGCUCUCCCAGCUUGUAUGUCCCGCAUACAUUCUGAUUUGAGCCUAUAGAAGGUCUAGUCCUUGGAGCAGCCUUCGGGAGAGUCAGAUUGGGGGUCUUGUGUGAAGACUCCAGUUAAAUGAUUUUGUUCCAUAGGCCCCAGUGCCAUUUCUUUAGGAACAAAGCAAUUCUAGAAAGAUAAAAGGGAAGGAACGGCACAAAUCAGAAACCCACCUGGAAGAAAACAUCCCUGUGACCUUCUUCAGACCUUUCACCAGAGUUUUGAACAGAAGUGGAAGUAAUCCCCCAAAGAAACAGACUCCAGAUUUCCAAGGCCAGAAGCAAUUUUUGAUCUCCCCGCCCUAAAUGAGCAUGCUUUCAGAUGUCACAUCUGAAACUUCGACAUCUCUGUGACAGUGGAAGAUCAAGACCAGGUUUCAGCAAGAGGCGCGUGCUGCCGUAAGUGGUGUAGCUGAAAAUAAUGGUUUGAGAGCCACGGUUAUGAGGACAAAGGCAGGAAAGAGCUCUGAAAGUCACCAUCUGUCCAUGUGGACAAAGACUGGUAACAAGUAGUCUGUGGACUGGCACCAGCCUUCGGGCCACACCCUGAAAAGCAGAAUGACAGAAUAUGACUGAGAACCAAGUGAAGCCAAAGAAGCAGCUCAACUUGGGCCAGGGAAGUACCCGAUAACCUUCAAACUCUGACACCUCAGGCCUGGGGGCACUACCCACACGCUUCUCAGGAAACUGAAAAAAACCAGGCUGCUUGCAGGAGUGACCAAACUACCCUACUUAUCACCAGCGGAGAAGGUAACGAUAAGGGAACGUGGCAGUUUCCUCCCAAGCUCUCCUCUCAAGAUCAUGGGUUUCCACUGUGUCUGAGGAGAAAGAGAUGAGACUGGGCUCAAGAAGCCUGCAAGACCGGUGGCACCCAGAUGUUGGCUAAGCAUCCAACUCUUGAUUUCGGUUCAGGUCAUGCUCU